rnacentral:misc_RNA from 1 species
GAAAUGCGAUAAGUAAUGUGAAUUGCAGAAUUCAGUGAAUCAUCGAAUCUUUGAACGCACAUUGCGCCCUGUGGUAUUCCGCAGGGCAUGCCUGUUCGAGCGUCAUUUAACCACUCACGCCUGGCGUGGUGUUGGGGCACGCGGUCUCGCGGCCCUCAAAAGUAGUGGCGGCGCCGGUGGGCUCUAAGCGUAGUAUAUACUUCCGCUAUAGAGUUCCCUCCGGUGGCUCGCUAGAACCCCUCAAUUUUUACCGGUUGACCUCGGAUCAGGUAGGGAUACCCGCUGAACUUAA